rnacentral:rRNA from 1 species
UACGGAGGGGGUUAGCGUUGUUCGGAAUGACUGGGCGUAAAGCGCGCGUAGGCGGGCUGGAAAGUUGGGGGUGAAAUCCCGGGGCUCAACCCCGGAAUGGCCUUCAAAACUCCCAGCCUAGAGUUCGAGAGAGGUGAGUGGAAUUCCGAGUGUAGAGGUGAAAUUCGUAGAUAUUCGGAGGAACACCAGUGGCGAAGGCGGCUCACUGGCCCGAUACUGACGCUGAGGUGCGAAAGCGUGGGGAGCAAACAGG